GACGAACGCUGGCGGCGUGCUUAACACAUGCAAGUCGAACGUGAGAGGGUAGCAAUAUCCUUGAAAGUGGCGCACGGGUGAGUAACACGUAGGUAACCUGCCCUGGAGCGGGGGAUAACAGUUGGAAACGGCUGCUAAUACCGCAUGAGACUGAUAAGCCGGGAGGCUUGUUGGUGAAAAUCUUGGUGCUUCAGGAGGGGCCUGCGGCCGAUUAGCUAGUUGGUGGGGUAAGAGCCUACCAAGGCGACGAUCGGUAGCUGGUCUGAGAGGACGAUCAGCCACACGGGAACUGAGACACGGUCCCGACUCCUACGGGGGGCAGCAGUGAGGAAUAUUGGGCAAUGGGCGGAAGCCUGACCCAGCAACGCCGCGUGGAGGAAGACGGCCUUCGGGUUGUAAACUCCUUUUACGGGGGAAGAGGAAGGACGGUACCCCGAGAAUAAGUCACGGCUAACUACGUGCCAGCCGCCGCCGUAACAC
rnacentral:rRNA from 1 species